rnacentral:rRNA from 1 species
UACGAAGGGGGCUAGCGUUGCUCGGAAUUACUGGGCGUAAAGGGCGCGUAGGCGGAUAGUUUAGUUGGGGGUGAAAGCCCGGGGCUCAACCUCGGAAUUGCCUUCAAUACUGGCCGUCUUGAGUGUGAGAGAGGUGUGUGGAACUCCGAGUGUAGAGGUGAAAUUCGUAGAUAUUCGGAAGAACACCAGUGGCGAAGGCGACACACUGGCUCACUACUGACGCUGAGGCGCGAAAGCGUGGGGAGCAAACAGG